CGCUGGUGGGCCAACAGGGCGGAGAAAAACACGAAGGCCUUCCCGCACUUGGGGCAGCAGAAGGGCCUUUCCCCAGUGUGAUCCUGCUGGUGGGCCAGCAGGUGUGAGGAAUGUCUGAAGGCCUUCCCGCAGUCGGUGCAGGGGAAUGGCCUCUCCCCGGUGUGACUGCGCCGAUGAGUCUCCAGGGCAGACGGGAAACGGAAGCCUUUCCCACAGUCGCCACACUUCCACGGUUUCUCCAUGGGGCGGGAUUCCUCUGGUUUCUCCAUGGCCAAAGCUUCAGCUGCACACAAACACGUGUCAAGCCCCUCCCUGCUGUGAAAUCCCCUUCCCAGGCCAUAUAACUGUUUCAGGCUCCACGCACAGUGCGCUGCAACAGUGGGGUCUCUCGUCCAGUCCCACAUGAUGCUGAAAACAUUCUCAAACAGGAACCAAAAAGCUUUGAUCCCUCUCACAGAAAUCACGGUCGAAGAUGUUUGCUGCCCCC